UNUCACACCUCUGAGAAGAGCUGGCCUCCAGC
rnacentral:piRNA from 1 species